rnacentral:rRNA from 1 species
CUUACCAUGCAAGUCGAACGGCAGCACGGGAGCUUGCUCCUGGUGGCGAGUGGCGAACGGGUGAGUAAUAUAUNCGGAACGUACCCUAGAGUGGGGGAUAACGCAGCGAAAGUUGCGCUAAUACCGCAUACGAUCUACGGAUGAAAGUGGGGGAUCGCAAGACCUCAUGCUCAUGGAGCGGCCGAUAUCUGAUUAGCUAGUUGGUGGGGUAAAGGCCUACCAAGGCAUCGAUCAGUAGCUGGUCUGAGAGGACGACCAGCCACACUGGAACUGAGACACGGUCCAGACUCCUACGGGAGGCAGCAGUGGGGAAUUUUGGACAAUGGGGGCAACCCUGAUCCAGCAAUGCCGCGUGAGUGAAGAAGGCCUUCGGGUUGUAAAGCUCUUUUGUCAGGGAAGAAACGGUGAGGGCUAAUAUCCUUUGCUAAUGACGGUACCUGAAGAAUAAGCACCGGCUAACUACGUGCCAGCAGCCGCGGUAAUACGUAGGGUGCAAGCGUUAAUCGGAAUUACUGGGCGUAAAGCGUGCGCAGGCGGUUAUGUAAGUCAGAUGUGAAAUCCCCGGGCUCAACCUGGGAAUGGCAUUUGAGACUGCAUGGCUAGAGUGUGUCAGAGGGGGGUAGAAUUCCACGUGUAGCAGUGAAAUGCGU